rnacentral:rRNA from 1 species
UACGUAGGUGGCAAGCGUUAUCCGGAUUUAUUGGGCGUAAAGGGAACGCAGGCGGUCUUUUAAGUCUGAUGUGAAAGCCUUCGGCUUAACCGGAGUAGUGCAUUGGAAACUGGGAGACUUGAGUGCAGAAGAGGAGAGUGGAACUCCAUGUGUAGCGGUGAAAUGCGCAGAUAUCGGGUGGAACACCGGUGGCGAAGGCGGCCCUCUGGUCUGUAACUGACGCUGAGGUUCGAAAGCGUGGGUAGCAAACAGG